ACUUAGUUGUUAUACUUACUAGGUUUUAUUAAGUUACACAAUUUGCUAAUUUUAAGGCGAAUAGAACAACAUGCUGCAAUGAGUAAUUCUUUCUUAAAAUAUUCAAGUAGCUACAACAAAACCGAUGACAUUAAUUCACCAGUGAGAGGCAGCAGUGCGCUAAUGUGCAACAGGAACAAAACAACAGAAGAAGAAAUAAGGACGGUGAGCAUGCGCAGCAAGCAAAGUUUUGAAGCUGCGUCGAAUUUGCUUAAACUAAAAAGUAGAAAGACUGUUUACAUUUCACCUCUGGACAAAGAAUGAUUGAUUACUUCUACACAAUAAUAAUAAGGAAAAAAGCUUGUGUCAGCUGUCUUCUCUGAGCAGCGGUCUUGUGAUCACCGGUCUCAGUAUAAUAAAGAGGACACUUCACAUCCUAGAACCCAUAAAAUAAAAGAUUUGACAGAACUACACACCCAUCUGAUGCCUACCUGUUUUAAUUCAUGAUCACCCCGGAUACUUCUACAACUAACCUGCUUGGUGUCUGAUGCUGAUGCAAUCUGGGCACUAGUAUCUGUUGGCUUGCUGACUAUCACUGACGAUGAAGUACUUCUCCAAAUCUUGACCCAGUGUCUUCUGCCAUCAUUGUUCAGGGUAGUACUGCAAAGGAUAGUCUCCAGGGUCUGCCUCCAACAUUUGCUUCCCGACCACCAUGUGCUACGCUUGCAUCACUACAUGUGGGUUACCCUGAUACUGUGAAGAGCACCUACAAUAUGAUGCUUGACUUGGGACAGAAAAAAAAACAUUGGCAACUUGUGUGGCCAACUCAUUGCCGUGUCAUGAAUUUGUAAUAGAUUUUUGAAGUAUUUAAGUUACUAGAGUAAUGGUAACUUUUUUUUUUUUAAAGGUUUGCAUUCUUUUUUUAAAAUAAGGUUUACUCAUUAUAAUUUACAGUGCAGACAACCUCCCUGCCCAGUGCACACUAGUGAGAUAAAUUCAAAACACUGUAAUUGUAAUAAAGUACUGUUACUAUACUGUA